rnacentral:rRNA from 1 species
CAGCAGCCACGGGAAUACGUAGGGUGCAAGCGUUAAUCGUAAUUACUGGGCGUAAAGCGUGCGCAGGCGGUUAUAUAAGACAGAUGUGAAAUCCCCGGGCUCAACCUGGGAACUGCAUUUGUGACUGUAUAGCUAGAGUACGGCAGAGGGGGAUGGAAUUCCGCGUGUAGCAGUGAAAUGCGUAGAUAUGCGGAGGAACACCGAUGGCGAAGGCAAUCCCCUGGGCCUGUACUGACGCUCAUGCACGAAAGCGUGGGGAGCAAACAGGAUUAGAUACCCCAGUAGUCCCUGUCUCUUAUAC